GAUGAACGCUAGCGGCAGGCCUAAUACAUGCAAGUCGAACGAUAGUGAGAAGCUUGCUUCUCACGAAAGUGGCGCACGGGUGCGUAACGCGUAUGCAACCUACCUUAAUCAGGGGGAUAGCCCGAAGAAAUUCGGAUUAACACCGCAUAAAAUCACAGUAUAGCAUUAUACAAUGAUCAAAUAUUUAUAGGAUUAAGAUGGGCAUGCGUGACAUUAGUUAGUUGGCGGGGUAACGGCCCACCAAGACCACGAUGUCUAGGGGAUCUGAGAGGAUGACCCCCCACACUGGUACGGAGACACGGACCAGACUCCUACGGGAGGCAGCAGUAAGGAAGAUUGGUCAAUGGAGGCAACUCUGAACCAGCCAUGCCGCGUGCAGGAAGACAGCCCUCUGGGUCGUAAACUGCUUUUAUUCGGGAAUAAACCUAUCUACGUGUAGAUAGCUGAAUGUACCGAAGGAAUAAGGAUCGGCUAACUCCGUGCCAGCAGCCGCCGUAA
rnacentral:rRNA from 1 species